GCCAGGCGUGGUGGUGCACGUCUGUAAUCCCAGCUACUAGGAGGCUGAGGCAGGAGAAUCGCUUGAACCUGGGAGGCAGAGGUUGCAGUGAGCUGAGACUGUGCCACUGCACUCCAGCCCGGGAGAUGGAGUGAGACUCUGUCUCAA
rnacentral:sRNA from 1 species